AUUGAACGCUGGCGGCAGGCCUAACACAUGCAAGUCGAGCGAGCGGCGGACGGGUGAGUAAUGUCUGGGAAACUGCCUGAUGGAGGGGGAUAACUACUGGAAACGGUAGCUAAUACCGCAUACCAUCAGAUGUGCCCAGAUGGGAGUAGCUAGUAGGUGGGGUAACGGCCCACCUAGGCGACGAUCCCUAGCUGGUCUGGGGGGAUGACCAGCCAAACGGGAACGGAGACACGGUCCCGACUCCGACGGGAGGCAGCAGUGGGGAAUAUUGCACAAUGGGCGCAAGCCUGAUGCAGCCAUGCCGCGUGUGUGAAGAAGGCCUUCGGGUUGUAAAGCACUUUCAGCGGGGAGGCGUUACCCGCAGAAGAAGCACCGGCUAACUCUGUGCCAGCCGCCGCGGUAAUAC
rnacentral:rRNA from 1 species